rnacentral:rRNA from 1 species
UAUUUAGGUAGCGCCUCGUGAAUUCAUCUCCGGGGGUAGAGCACUGUUUCGGCUAGGGGGCCAUCCCGGCUUACCAACCCGAUGCAAACUGCGAAUACCGGAGAAUGUUAUCACGGGAGACACACGGCGGGUGCUAACGUCCGUCGUGAAGAGGGAAACAACCCAGACCGCCAGCUAAGGUCCCAAAGUCAUGGUUAAGUGGGAAACGAUGUGGGAAGGCCCAGACAGCCAGGAUGUUGGCUUAGAAGCAGCCAUCAUUUAAAGAAAGCGUAAUAGCUCACUGGUCGAGUCGGCCUGCGCGGAAGAUGUAACGGGGCUAAACCAUGCACCGAAGCUGCGGCAGCGAACGUAUCACCCAAGACAACUUUACGGAGUUGACGAUUGACGGAGCGAAGCGACGUCAAAGCGUUCAUUAAAGUCGAGUUGGCUUAGGGAUACGUUCGUUGGGUAGGGGAGCGUUCUGUAAGCCUGUGAAGGUGUGUCGUGAGGCAUGCUGGAGGUAUCAGAAGUGCGAAUGCUGACAUAAGUAACGAUAAAGCGGGUGAAAAGCCCGCUCGCCGGAAGACCAAGGGUUCCUGUCCAACGUUAAUCGGGGCAGGGUGAGUCGACCCCUAAGGCGAGGCCGAAAGGCGUAGUCGAUGGGAAACGGGUUAAUAUUCCCGUACUUGGUGUUACUGCGAAGGGGGGACGGAGAAGGCUAUGUUGGCCGGGCGACGGUUGUCCCGGUUUAAGCGUGUAGGUGUGUGUUCCAGGUAAAUCCGGUUCACUUUAACACUGAGGCGUGACGACGAGGCACUACGGUGCUGAAGCAACAAAUGCCCUGCUUCCAGGAAAAGCCUCUAAGCAUCAGGUAACAUCAAAUCGUACCCCAAACCGACACAGGUGGUCAGGUAGAGAAUACCAAGGCGCUUGAGAGAACUCGGGUGAAGGAACUAGGCAAAAUGGUGCCGUAACUUCGGGAGAAGGCACGCUGACACGUAGGUGAAGUGAUUUACUCAUGGAGCUGAAGUCAGUCGAAGAUACCAGCUGGCUGCAACUGUUUAUUAAAAACACAGCACUGUGCAAACACGAAAGUGGACGUAUACGGUGUGACGCCUGCCCGGUGCCGGAAGGUUAAUUGAUGGGGUCAGCGCAAGCGAAGCUCCUGAUCGAAGCCCCGGUAAACGGCGGCCGUAACUAUAACGGUCCUAAGGUAGCGAAAUUCCUUGUCGGGUAAGUUCCGACCUGCACGAAUGGCGUAAUGAUGGCCAGGCUGUCUCCACCCGAGACUCAGUGAAAUUGAACUCGCUGUGAAGAUGCAGUGUACCCGCGGCAAGACGGAAAGACCCCGUGAACCUUUACUAUAGCUUGACACUGAACAUUGAGCCUUGAUGUGUAGGAUAGGUGGGAGGCUUUGAAGUGUGGACGCCAGUCUGCAUGGAGCCGACCUUGAAAUACCACCCUUUAAUGUUUGAUGUUCUAACGUGGACCCGUAAUCCGGGUUGCGGACAGUGUCUGGUGGGUAGUUUGACUGGGGCGGUCUCCUCCUAAAGAGUAACGGAGGAGCACGAAGGUUGGCUAAUCCUGGUCGGACAUCAGGAGGUUAGUGCAAUGGCAUAAGCCAGCUUGACUGCGAGCGUGACGGCGCGAGCAGGUGCGAAAGCAGGUCAUAGUGAUCCGGUGGUUCUGAAUGGAAGGGCCAUCGCUCAACGGAUAAAAGGUACUCCGGGGAUAACAGGCUGAUACCGCCCAAGAGUUCAUAUCGACGGCGGUGUUUGGCACCUCGAUGUCGGCUCAUCACAUCCUGGGGCUGAAGUAGGUCCCAAGGGUAUGGCUGUUCGCCAUUUAAAGUGGUACGCGAGCUGGGUUUAGAACGUCGUGAGACAGUUCGGUCCCUAUCUGCCGUGGGCGCUGGAGAACUGAGGGGGGCUGCUCCUAGUACGAGAGGACCGGAGUGGACGCAUCACUGGUGUUCGGGUUGUCAUGCCAAUGGCACUGCCCGGUAGCUAAAUGCGGAAGAGAUAAGUGCUGAAAGCAUCUAAGCACGAAACUUGCCCCGA